rnacentral:rRNA from 1 species
UACGUAGGUGACCAGCGUUGUCCGGAUUUACUGGGCGUAAAGAGCGCGCAGGCGGUCGUGCAAGGCGAGGGGGAAAGCCCCCGGCUCAACUGAGGAGGGUCACUCGAUACUGAUCGACUUGAAGGCAGGAGAGGGAAGUGGAAUUCCCGGUGUAGUGGUGAAAUGCGUAGAUAUCGGGAGGAACACCAGUGGCGAAGGCGACUUCCUGGCCUGUUCUUGACGCUGAGGCGCGAAAGCUAGGGGAGCAAACGGG